CCUACGGGGCGCAGCAGUGAGGAAUAUUGGGCAAUGGGCGCAAGCCUGAACCAGCCAAGUAGCGUGAAGGAUGACGGCCCUAGGGGUUGUAAACUUCGUUUAGAAAGGAAUAAAGUGAGGCACGUGUGCCUUUUUGUAUGUACUUUAUGAAUAAGGAUCGGCAAACUCCGUGCCAGCAGCCGCGGUAAUACGGAGGAGGCGAGCGUUAUCCGGAUUGAUUGGGGUUAAAGGGAGCGUAGAUGGGUUGUUAAGUCAGUUGUGAAAGUUUGCGGCUCAACCGUAAAAUUGCAAUUGAUACUGGCAGCCUUGAGUACAGUUGAGGUAGGCGGAAUUCGUGGUGUAGCGGUGAAAUGCUUAGAUAUCACGAAGAACUCCGAUGGCGAAGGCAGCUUACUAAACUGCCACUGACAUUGAUGCUCGAAAGUGUGGGUAUCAAACAGGAUUAGAUACCCCUGUAGUC
rnacentral:rRNA from 1 species